CACUAUCUGAUCUGGACCACACAGCAUCUCCAUGUGCCUUCUUCCUGCAGGUGGAAAUCUACCUAAGGAGGGGCGCCUUCCAGGACGAGCCUCAUUCCACAGAUAAGGAGACAGAGAUGGAGCCAAACUCAAAGAAUUCCCCAAACCAGGCUGGUGUUCUAACCAGGAUUCGAACUCUGCCAUCUGGAUCCUAACUGCGACAGUAUGUUUCCUAUUUCCUCCCAUUUUUAGGUAAAUUCCUCAUUUUACUUUUUUAUGCUUAUCAUUU
rnacentral:lncRNA from 1 species